UGACACCACACAAAACAAGCAGUUACCAACAACCUAUAUCAUUAAACAAUAACGAAGUCUAAGGUCAAGCAUAGCAUACUUUGCCCUGCUCUCUUCGGAGUAAUUGGAACGAUGGGUAUUUUGCUACACAGAGGCUACGUCUAAGUCUCUCGAACAAGUUGUUACGAUUUCCAGUCAACGAA